ACCUCCUGUUACACAGGUACAGACAGCAACUGCAGUCACUGUUGCACAGUUCUCCAUGGAGGUUCUUUUCUUACAGAUGACAAGCAGGACCUUAGAGGCUUUUCCAAAGGGAUGCCACUUGAACUGCUGGAGACACAUCUACAAGGUGGCUGUGUCAAGGAGUUACAGACUUGUCCAGCCACACCUGUGCCUGCUGGAAAAGCGUCACCCCCAGCUGCCUGGCACUCCUCUCCCUUUCCUCCUGCCUCUCCUCACCUGGGGGUUUCUGCACUUCAAACCUGACAGAUAAACUGCUCCUAGGACUGUUGCCUGAGCUUUCAGGCAAAAUGAGGUUGCAAUGAAUCCAAAAUGAUGAAACUGAGACUUGAAAUCUGAGCAUGUUGAUGGACAAGGGCACAAGUCUAAAAUGACCAGACAGCCAGUUGUCACAUGCCAUUUCUGAGCCAAAGGUAAAGCUACAAUUUGGGAAGCAGUAGCAGAAGCCUCCUGCUCUAUAUCACAAUCACUUCUCCACUCAUGACCAGAACCUGAGUGCCCUUCCCUCCACUCUAAUAAAGGUAAGCAACCCCU